UUUGAGCGAUCCCAGCCACAGGGGCUGGCCGGCGUCGCGGUCCCGGCCGUAGGUGGCCAGCAACGCCUCGGCCUC
rnacentral:antisense_RNA from 1 species